ACGUUAGCGGCGGACGGGUGAGUAACACGUGGGUAACCUACCUAUAAGACUGGGAUAACUUCGGGAAACCGGAGCUAAUACCGGAUAAUAUUUCGAACCGCAUGGUUCGAUAGUGAAAGAUGGUUUUGCUAUCACUUAUAGAUGGACCUGCGCCGUAUUAGCUAGUUGGUAAGGUAACGGCUUACCAAGGCGACGAUACGUAGCCGACCUGAGAGGGUGAUCGGCCACACUGGAACUGAGACACGGUCCAGACUCCUACGGGAGGCGGCAGCC
rnacentral:rRNA from 1 species